rnacentral:sRNA from 1 species
GACCACUCCCAACUGGUGUCCGCCUUUGGGGAGUUAAGGCCAUACGGACAGCCGGGUCCGCUGCCGA